CCGCCCGUGGCGCAGCUGGAUAACGCAACGGAUUCCGAUUCCGGAGAACGGGAGUUCAAAUCUCUUCGGGCGGGCCA
rnacentral:tRNA from 3 species